AUGUACAUGCCUACAACAUAGAGUUAAUGCAAUAGAUCCCAUUAUAACUCUGCAGUUAAGCAUGCUCAGGAUAGAGUAGUACUGAGAUGGGUGACUUCCUGGGAAGUCCUAGUGUUUUACAUU
rnacentral:rRNA from 1 species